rfam:Dipodomys ordii contig_3334, whole genome shotgun sequence.
GGUGGCUCAGUGGUAGAGCGCUUGCUUUGCAUGCGUGAGGCCCUGGGUUCGAUUCCUCAGCACCA